CCUUCGGGGUUAGUGGCAGACGGGUGAGUAACGCGUGGGAACCUACCUAUAAGUACGGAACAACACAGAGAAAUGUGUGCUAAUACCGUAUGUGCUCUUUGGAGUAAAGAUUUAUCGCUUAUAGAUGGGCCCGCGUUAGAUUAGCUAGUUGGUAAGGUAACGGCUUACCAAGGCGACGAUCUAUAGCUGGUCUGAGAGGAUGAUCAGCCACACUGGGACUGAGACACGGCCCAGACUCCUACGGGAGGCAGCAGUGAGGAAUAUUGGACAAUGGGGGCAACCCUGAUCCAGCCAUGCCGCGUGAGUGAUGACGGCCUUAGGGUUGUAAAGCUCUUUCGCUAGGGAAGAUAAUGACGGUACCUAGUAAAGAAGCCCCGGCUAACUUCGUGCCAGCAGCCGCGGUAAUACGAAGGGGGCUAGCGUUGUUCGGAAUCACUGGGCGUAAAGCGCACGUAGGCGGACUUUUAAGUCAGGGGUGAAAUCCCGAGGCUCAACCUCGGAACUGCCUUUGAUACUGGAAGUCUUGAGUUCGAGAGAGGUAAGUGGAAUACCGAGUGUAGAGGUGAAAUUCGUAGAUAUUCGGUGGAACACCAGUGGCGAAGGCGG
rnacentral:rRNA from 1 species